GUGGGGAAUAUUGGGCAAUGGGCGAAAGCCUGACCCAGCAACGCCGCGUGAAGGAAGAAGGUCUUCGGAUUGUAAACUUCUGUCAUUGGGGACGAAGGAAGUGACGGUACCCGAUGAGGAAGCCCCGGCUAACUACGUGCCAGCAGCCGCGGUAAUACGUAGGGGGCGAGCGUUGUCCGGAAUUACUGGGCGUAAAGGGUGCGUAGGCGGCGAUGCAAGUCCAUUGUGAAAAGCCCGGGCUUAACCUGGGAGGUGCAGUGGAAACUGUAUGGCUUGAGUGCAGGAGAGGAAAGUGGAAUUCCUAGUGUAGCGGUGAAAUGCGUAGAUAUUAGGAGGAACACCAGUGGCGAAGGCGGCUUUCUGGACUGUAACUGACGCUGAGGCACGAAAGCGUGGGGAGCAAACAGGAUUAGAAACCCUGGUAGUCC
rnacentral:rRNA from 1 species